rnacentral:rRNA from 1 species
AGAGUUGAUCCUGGCUCAGGAUGAACGCUAGCUACAGGCUUAACACAUGCAAGUCGAGGGGAAACGACAUCGAAAAGCUUGCUUUUUGAUGGGCGUCGACCGGCGCACGGGUGAGUAACGCGUAUCCAACCUGCCCACCACUUGGGGAUAACCUUGCGAAAGUAAGACUAAUACCCAAUGAUAUCUCUAGAAGACAUCUGAAAGAGAUUAAAGAUUUAUCGGUGAUGGAUGGGGAUGCGUCUGAUUAGCUUGUUGGCGGGGUAACGGCCCACCAAGGCAACGAUCAGUAGGGGUUCUGAGAGGAAGGUCCCCCACAUUGGAACUGAGACACGGUCCAAACUCCUACGGGAGGCAGCA